GGGUUGUGAGGUUAAGCGACUAAGCGUACACGGUGGAUGCCCUGGCAGUCAGAGGCGAUGAAGGACGUGCUAAUCUGCGAUAAGCGUCGGUAAGGUGAUAUGAACCGUUAUAACCGGCGAUUUCCGAAUGGGGAAACCCAGUGUGAUUCGUCACACUAUCAUUAACUGAAUCCAUAGGUUAAUGAGGCGAACCGGGGGAACUGAAACAUCUAAGUACCCCGAGGAAAAGAAAUCAACCGAGAUUCCCCCAGUAGCGGCGAGCGAACGGGGAGCAGCCCAGAGCCUGAAUCAGUGUGUGUGUUAGUGGAAGCGUCUGGAAAGGCGCGCGAUACAGGGUGACAGCCCCGUACACAAAAAUGCACAUGCUGUGAGCUCGAUGAGUAGGGCGGGACACGUGGUAUCCUGUCUGAAUAUGGGGGGACCAUCCUCCAAGGCUAAAUACUCCUGACUGACCGAUAGUGAACCAGUACCGUGAGGGAAAGGCGAAAAGAACCCCGGCGAGGGGAGUGAAAAAGAACCUGAAACCGUGUACGUACAAGCAGUGGGAGCACGCUUAGGCGUGUGACUGCGUACCUUUUGUAUAAUGGGUCAGCGACUUAUAUUCUGUAGCAAGGUUAACCGAAUAGGGGAGCCGAAGGGAAACCGAGUCUUAACUGGGCGUUAAGUUGCAGGGUAUAGACCCGAAACCCGGUGAUCUAGCCAUGGGCAGGUUGAAGGUUGGGUAACACUAACUGGAGGACCGAACCGACUAAUGUUGAAAAAUUAGCGGAUGACUUGUGGCUGGGGGUGAAAGGCCAAUCAAACCGGGAGAUAGCUGGUUCUCCCCGAAAGCUAUUUAGGUAGCGCCUCGUGAAUUCAUCUCCGGGGGUAGAGCACUGUUUCGGCAAGGGGGUCAUCCCGACUUACCAACCCGAUGCAAACUGCGAAUACCGGAGAAUGUUAUCACGGGAGACACACGGCGGGUGCUAACGUCCGUCGUGAAGAGGGAAACAACCCAGACCGCCAGCUAAGGUCCCAAAGUCAUGGUUAAGUGGGAAACGAUGUGGGAAGGCCCAGACAGCCAGGAUGUUGGCUUAGAAGCAGCCAUCAUUUAAAGAAAGCGUAAUAGCUCACUGGUCGAGUCGGCCUGCGCGGAAGAUGUAACGGGGCUAAACCAUGCACCGAAGCUGCGGCAGCGACGCUGAUGCGUUGUUGGGUAGGGGAGCGUUCUGUAAGCCUGUGAAGGUGUGCUGUGAGGCAUGCUGGAGGUAUCAGAAGUGCGAAUGCUGACAUAAGUAACGAUAAAGCGGGUGAAAAGCCCGCUCGCCGGAAGACCAAGGGUUCCUGUCCAACGUUAAUCGGGGCAGGGUGAGUCGACCCCUAAGGCGAGGCCGAAAGGCGUAGUCGAUGGGAAACAGGUUAAUAUUCCUGUACUUGGUGUUACUGCGAAGGGGGGACGGAGAAGGCUAUGUUGGCCGGGCGACGGUUGUCCCGGUUUAAGCGUGUAGGCUGGUUUUCCAGGCAAAUCCGGAAAAUCAAGGCUGAGGCGUGAUGACGAGGCACUACGGUGCUGAAGCAACAAAUGCCCUGCUUCCAGGAAAAGCCUCUAAGCAUCAGGUAACAUCAAAUCGUACCCCAAACCGACACAGGUGGUCAGGUAGAGAAUACCAAGGCGCUUGAGAGAACUCGGGUGAAGGAACUAGGCAAAAUGGUGCCGUAACUUCGGGAGAAGGCACGCUGAUAUGUAGGUGAAG
rnacentral:rRNA from 1 species